CCAGCAGCNGCGGUAAUACGUAGGUCCCGAGCGUUNUCCGGAUUUAUUGGGCGUAAAGGGAGCGCAGGCGGUCAGGAAAGUCUGGAGUAAAAGGCUAUGGNUCAACCAUAGUGUGCUCUGGAAACUGUCUGACUUGAGUGCAGAAGGGGAGAGUGGAAUUCCAUGUGUAGCGGUGAAAUGCGUAGAUAUAUGGAGGAACACCAGUGGCGAAAGCGGCUCUCUGGUCUGUCACUGACGCUGAGGCUCGAAAGCGUGGGUAGCGAACAGGAUUAGAUACCCUGGUAGUCCACGCCGUAAACGAUGAGUGCUAGGUGUUAGGCCCUUUCCGGGGCUUAGUGCCGGAGCUAACGCAAUAAGCACUCCGCCUGGGGAGUACGACCGCAAGGUUGAAACUCAAAGGAAUUGACGGGGGCCCGCACAAGCGGUGGAGCAUGUGGUUUAAUUCGAAGCAACGCGAAGAACCUUACCAGGUCUUGACAUCCCGAUGCUAUUCUUAGAGAUAGGAAGUUACUUCGGUACAUCGGAGACAGGUGGUGCAUGGUUGUCGUCAGCUCGUGUCGUGAGAUGUUGGGUNNNNNNNNNNNNNCGAGCGCAACCCUUAUUGUUAGUUGCCAUCAUUAAGUUGGGCACUCUAGCGAGACUGCCGGUAAUAAACCGGAGGAAGGUGGGGAUGACGUCAAAUCAUCAUGCCCCUUAUGACCUGGGCUACACACGUGCUACAAUGGUCGGUACAACGAGUUGCGAGCCGGUGACGGCAAGCUAAUCUCUGAAAGCCGAUCUCAGUUCGGAUUGGAGGCUGCAACUCGCCUCCAUGAAGUCGGAAUCGCUAGUAAUCGCGGAUCAGCACGCCGCGGUGAAUACGUUCCCGGGCCU
rnacentral:rRNA from 1 species